rnacentral:lncRNA from 1 species
AACAGCUGGAUGCAGAUGGUGGCCCUCUCCGCACGCGCUCUGGAGAAGCAGCGGCCCGAGACAUAGUGCAGUUCGUGCCUUAUCGACGAUUUCAGAAUGCUCCCCGGGAGACACUCGCACAGACCGUACUCGCCGAAGUGCCCACUCAGAUGGUUUCCUACUUCAGAGCCCAAGGCUGGGCCCCGUUAAAGGCACCUCCAACCCCAGGCAAGGGCCCCGCACAGGCCCCACAGGCAUAGGCACCCGUGGAGGAGUAGGCUCCAAUCAGUCCUCAGCCUGCAGCCUGCUCCAUCCUCAGGGCAGGGACCAAGCGUGCACAUUCUUUCCAUUUCAUAGUUGAUACUUUUAUAUGUACUGCUGCUGCUGCUCUUUGACAUUGCCUGCCUGCCUGGCACCUUUUCAUUCAGGAAAGAAAGACUAGUAAAGAUAUCACUCCUUUCAAAAUUAUAGACUGCUAGAGAGAGCCACACUUGCUUUGACCUUGGGCUUGUUGAGUAGAUCCCUUUGGUCUAAUAACCCCAUUCAAGGAUUAUGUUUAUGUCUAUUCGCUUCAGUCACAUACUUUGAAAAGACAAAGUUUGAAUAAUUAAGUAAACUUGUGGUUGUCCUUUCCUCCGGGGCGAGCUGAACUGGGGCUGACUAUGAACACGAUGGAAGGUGCUACAGUGUAAGAGGUAGCAAAUGAGAGAAGACAAUGUUUUAGAGUAAGGGCUGUUAGACUUCCUGUGCUAGCUCUGUCCCUCUGUUUCUUGGGGACAUUUGUGUAGCCCAGGCUGGCCUGCAGUUUACCAUCCUGCGGCAACCUUAGAGAUGCUAGAAUUACAGGUGUAUGCUACCGUGCCUGGAGUAUAGUCUUGAUUUUUUUACUUUUUUAAUAUAUGCUCUCAUAUAGCCCAGGCUGGCCCUACAUUUUGUUGCCAAGGAUAACUUGAAUUCCUGCUCCUUCCUAUUUGAGCUUCCCAAAUGCUAGGAUUAUAAGCAUGCCUCAACAGUUGCCCUUUACCAGCUCAACAGUUUGAUAGCUUUUUUUUAAUAUAAUGAAUGAUUUAAUGCAUGUUCAUUUGGGGAAAACUUUAUAGGACACAUCCUAACCACUUUGCCCAGACUGCCUUUUACAUUUUACAACUCAAGGUCCUGGAGUAGCUGGAACUACAGUUCAGUGUCUGGUUUAGCAAAACUGGUUUUGUUUGCAGACUGGGGGGAGGGGAGCUCCUAAAUGCAGGUAUCAGUAUUAUAUAAAAAUAGAAAAUGGGAACAAAGAUUGGUGGCUCAUGGUUAUAAUCCCAACACUCAGAAGUCUGAGGCAGGAGGGUUGCUCUGAGUUUGAUGUGAAUUUGAGGUACACGAGGAGUUUCAGGUCAGACAGAACAACUUUAAAAGCAAACAUGUGUGCUGUUUGUAUCUGGUUUGCAUUUAUAUUGGGUGCCUUAUCCACCAGAACUUACUGCCUCCUCUUUUUCAUUAUCUGUCCUUUUGUAAGAAUAUACCAGAGUUUAGCAGUUCCCUUCCCAACAGAGAUUCGAUUUACUGUGAUUACACACAUUUUUGAAGAGUUGGUUUUUCAGUAUGGAAAUGAGAGAUUGCAGGUGAUAUUUGCAGUGUUAGCAGUUAUUACAGGCUGCCUUCUGUAGAGGGGUGAUCUGACCUCUGAUAACCUGUGGGUCACCUUCCUUCCCCAGAUCUCAUUUCUAGUUUCCAUUUAUUUCUCUAUAUUAUUUCAUACACAUUUCCUUCUCAGUAACCUGUUCACAAACUGUAUGUUAGAGCUUUUAUUUUGUUCUUGACAUGUUGAAAGUAUUUUUCCCUCAUCUGUUACUGUUUCAUGUUUUUAUAUUCCAUAUGUAAAAUUAUUUUUAUAUAUGUUACCCUUUUAAAAAAUAUAUCUAUGUAUCAAUAAAAUUAAUAUAUCC